GGCGGGUUGGCGUAAUGGCAACGCGUCAGUUUCCGGCAUCAAGAGAUGUACAUACAGCUGAAGAUUCCGGGUUCGAGCCCCGGGCCUGUCG